GACGAACGCUGGCGGCGUGCCUAAUACAUGCCAGUUGAGCGCUGAAGGUUGGUACUUGUACCAACUGGAUGAGCAGCGAACGGGUGAGUAACGCGUGGGGAAUCUGCCUUUGAGCGGGGGACAACAUUUGGAAACGAAUGCUAAUACCGCAUAAAAACUUUAAACACAAGUUUUAAGUUUGAAAGAUGCAAUUGCAUCACUCAAAGAUGAUCCCGCGUUGUAUUAGCUAGUUGGUGAGGUAAAGGCUCACCAAGGCGAUGAUACAUAGCCGACCGGAGAGGGUGAGCGGCCACAUUGAGACGGAGACACGGCCCAAACGGCUACGGGAGGCAGCAGUAGGGAAUCGUGGGCAAGGGACGAAAGUCUGACCGAGCAACGCCGCGUGAGGGAAGAAGGGUGUCGGAUCGGAAAACUCUGUUGGUAGGGAAGAACGUUGGUGAGAGUGGAAAGCUCAUCAAGUGACGGUAACUACACAGAAAGGGACGGCUAACUACGUG
rnacentral:rRNA from 1 species